rnacentral:lncRNA from 1 species
UUGGUACUACAACCGCACCUCCUGUAGGUUAUUUAUAGAUCGUCCCCAAACCUUCCAUUCCCAUUCUCAGAUUUACAUUCUUCAAUUAUUCCCCGCUAUUCAAAAUACAUCCAACUUUACGAGCCAGUGGAGUAGUUCGAUUUCAUCAACAAUCCAUUGGAGGAGCCGUACCAACAACCGAUUGGUAAACCCUUACCUAUUUUCUCAUCUUCUCCGUUCAAUCUCCGGUUGGUUUCCGUUAUAAUACAAAUCACCAAACAAACAAACAAACCCUUCCUUUCAUCUCUCCAGCGACAAAUAAACCAACAUGGGCAGUUCCAUAUGAAGCCGCGUUGGAAGAUGAAAUUGCAGAGAGAACAUCUAAUUGUUGAAGUUUCAUCUCAUCUCACCUCUAUAGAUAUAAUCAUUGCCAAUUUCUUUUCAAGGACACCACCGCCUCCCAACUGUGAGAUCGAACAAAGUUAAGGUUACAUCUACAACAGUAUCACCUAGCCCUUGAAUUCAAGAUGGGAUUUUAUGGUCAUCAAAGGAGGUACCGUGCAUAGAAGAAUUCCCCUUGUCUGUAGCCAACCCAUGUGGACGAACCAAGAAUCGCCGUUGACAGGGUUCUGCACUCAAAAGUAUUCUCAACCAAAGAUGGAACAUGGGUACGUGAUUACAUAUAUGUUGCAGAUUUUAGCUAAUGGGCAUGCAUUUAAAAAAAGGGUAAUUGAACGGUACCCCCGAUCGCGGGAGGGUUCUCCCUCCCGAGCACGAUAGCCCCAUACCUAACUGGCGGUGAAUCCCCAGCCAUCGAGUGGACCAUAGGUUUUUUGGUAAUCGACCGGAGUAGAACCCGGGUCCCCACGAUUUGUGUGGGUGAGGCUGGCUACUGGGCUGACACCCAGUGGUUAUAUGGCUACAUUUAGAAAACUCACAGUCCUGAAAUAGAUAUGUAUUCUUUUGUCAUGUUUGAUUAUUUCAUAUAUAUUAUAUUAAUAUUUACUAGACACAAUUACAAAUAAUCACAACUAUGUGGCAAAUUGUAGUUAAUUAAAUGAUAUGCAUGUCAUUAUUUUGGAUUUUGCUGCCAUGAGGAUAAAAAAUAAGAAGAAUCUACUUCUAUCUUAUUUACGAUAUUUUUAAUAUAAAAUUUUAAAUGGGCCAAACAUUGGAGCAACUGUAAGGUUAUUAGUAUGAGACCUGGAGGUCAUGGGCUUGACUCAUGGAAAGUGCAAAAUUUUUGAUUUCUCGUCGAAAAUUUUAAAGGAUCCCUCAAUUAUUGUCUAAAUAUUUAUACAAUAUAUAAAUUGGGUCCCAUGACUUUCUGCCCCCCGAAACUGUUGGUCAAGCUCCGCCACUGAUUAUAAAGUAGUUUUAGAUACAGUGAUUGACUCAGAUGGAUGGCCAAGAAGUAAGAACCGGUGAUCUUUGUUACUUUGACAAUGAAGGAUUCCUGUUCGUUAUGGAUCGGUUGAAAGAGCUGAUCAAGUAUAAAGGUUACUAGGUACCACCAGCCGAAUUGGAACACAUUUAUACAACCGCAUCAAUCUGCAGUGAUUCCGUAUGCAUUUCACCUUUUAAUCAGAAGUCGCAAUUUCAUCUUAAUUCAGAUUUAAACAUGUACAUGGGUUAAAUUGUUACACGGGUGAUGGAUAGGCCAAUCACUAUAUAGCCAAAUAUGUGGAUCGAGUUUAAUAUAGAGUUUCUUGAAUAUCUUUUUUCGACAAUAAUCCCUUAAUCCCUCUUUUGUAUAUAGUUUUUUCUAUUCUUUGAUUGUAUUUAAAUGUUUCAAUGUUGGGUAUAAAAUUUCGUUGUGUUUUUAUUCUUUUAUAUUUAAAUAAAGAUGGUUAUGAAAUUAAACUUCCCGACUAGCGGACGGGUAUAAAACUAAAAAGUUAUAUGAAAAGGGUCAAGUUAAAUGAGCUGUGCUUUUAUCUUAAACAUAAACUAUUUUGGUUUAGAAUCCAAAGAAAGAUAAUUUUGCCAUUAAUACAUUAAAAUACCCGUCUAUCGGAUUAUGACAUUUCUCAGUCUCCCCUAAGAAACGAUCCCAAAGAUACACCAAAUUUGUCAGAUGCGGACCAGACGACAACUCAGCAAGAAGAAAAUAUGUCAUCGGUGGUUGAUAAUUUGGAACAUGAGGUCGACGCUGACAUUUCUAAAUGUUACCAGGUAGAUGAUGCUAGAUGUACACUAAAUUCAUCAGAUGUCCACAAUCCAACAAGUCAGCAAGAAUUUGUAUUUGUUUUUACAUGUUGCCUCAGUAGACGUAGACGAUGUAAAAAAUACACCAAAUUUGACAAAUGGGCACCAUGCAUCAACUCAACAAGUCGAAAAGAGGCUAUCUUUGAGGUUGAAGAGGACGAUCCAAAAGCCGAAAAAAUUGAGGCAAUAAACCACGUUUGAUUGUUUAUAACACUUUCCCUCAGUGCUGCCUACCAUUUACUUUUGCAUUAAAAUGACAGUAUUUCAUGUUUUAUCUCUCUAUCAGUUUUAUUUUAUACUGUUUGUGGUUGUACACUGUUCACGUAGGUUUUCCUUUUAUAAAUUAAA